GAGUAAUGUCUGGGAAACUGCCUGAUGGAGGGGGGAGUAACUACUGGAAACGGUAGCUAAUACCGCAUAACGUCGCAAGACCAAAGAGGGGGACCUUCGGGCCUCUUGCCAUCAGAUGUGCCCAGAUGGGAUUAGCUAGUAGGUGGGGUAACGGCUCACCUAGGCGACGAUCCCUAGCUGGUCUGAGAGGAUGAACGGCCACAUUGGGACUGAGACACGGCCCAGACUCCUACGGGAGGCAGCAUG
rnacentral:rRNA from 1 species